rnacentral:tmRNA from 1 species
CCCAUUGCCGAGUUUUGGCAAGGGACUAUAUUAGGGGUGUCGGCGACGGCCGACUAUGGCGAUAAACCCUGCCCGGAAUAGGCGCGACGGACCCGGGGGCAGUACCCGGCGCCUCCACCAAACACCCCGACUGCGGGGGCGAAACAGGUUCGACGUCGCGCGGUAAAGGGGCAGGUUUCGCCCGGCAUGGUACCGCCGUUAUCGGGCCAACCUUAUAAGUGCCAACGACAAUCGUGUGGCUCUCGCUGCCUAAGCUAUAGGCAAGCGCGGCCGGAGGAGGCCGGGCAACAGAACUCCUCCAGA